AUGGCUUCACUAUUGUACGGCCCCUGCUUUGAUGACAAUGCAAGAAAGAUGAGUGGGCGUGUAAUAUCUUGGAUUAAUAGCUUAUUCAUUGAGCCUGCACCAAGGGCUCCGUUUGGUUAUUCACCUGCUGAUCCAAGAACUCCAUCUUAUUCAAGAUUCACUGGUGAAAUUGGCAGAGGAACAACUGGUCGUGAUAGGCACAGAGGAAGUCAUCUUCGAGUUUCACUGGCAAAAUUAGCUUUAAGAAAUCUUCUUAUAACAAAUUUGGACCUCUUUCCUGCUUGCAUUGAUCAGUGCUACUACUCAGAUGCUGCAAUCGCAGAUGGCUACUUCAGUGUGCUAGCAGAAGUUUACAU
rnacentral:misc_RNA from 1 species